GACGAACGCUGGCGGCGUGCUUAACACAUGCGAGUCGUACGGUAAGGCCCUUUCGGGGGUACACGAGUGGCGAACGGGUGAGUAACACGUGAGUAACCUGCCCACAACUUUGGGAUAACGCUAGGAAACUGGUGCUAAUACUGGAUAUGUGCUCCUGCUGCAUGGGGGGGGUUGGAAAGCUCCGGCGGUUGUGGAUGGACUCGCGGCCUAUCAGCUUGUUGGUGGGGUAGUGGCCUACCAAGGCGGCGACGGGUAGCCGGCCUGUGAGGGUGACCGGCCACCUUGGGACCGAGGGACGGCCCCGACGCCUACGGGUGGACGCAGUGGGGAAGAUUGCACAAGGGGCGCAAGCCUGAUGCAGCAACGCCGCGUGCGGGAUGACGGCCUUCGGGUUGUAAAACGCGUUCAGCAGGGACGAAGCUUUUUGUGACGGUACCUGCAGAAGAAGCACCGGCUAACUACGUG
rnacentral:rRNA from 1 species